rnacentral:tRNA from 1 species
GCACCCGUAGCUCAGUUGGAUAGAGCGUUGCCCUCCGAAGGCAGAGGUCGCAGGUUCGAAUCCUGUCGGGUGCGCCA